rnacentral:rRNA from 1 species
ACUCCUACGGGAGGCAGCAGUGGGGAAUCUUGCGCAAUGGGCGAAAGCCUGACGCAGCCAUGCCGCGUGAAUGAUGAAGGUCUUAGGAUUGUAAAAUUCUUUCACCGGGGACGAUAAUGACGGUACCCGGAGAAGAAGCCCCGGCUAACUCCGUGCCAGCAGCCGCGGUAAUACGGAGGGUGCGAGCGUUAAUCGGAAUUACUGGGGCGUAAAGCGCAUGCAGGCGGCCUGUUAAGUCAGAUGUGAAAGCCCGGGGCUUAACCUCGGAAUUGCAUUUGAAACUGGCAGGCUAGAGUCUUGUAGAGGGGGGUAGAAUUUCAGGUGUAGCGGUGAAAUGCGUAGAGAUCUGAAGGAAUACCAGUGGCGAAGGCGGCCCCUGGACAAAGACUGACGCUCAGAUGCGAAAGCGUGGGGAGCAAACAGGAUUAGAUACCCUGGUAGGAUAGCG